ACAAACUUGGUCAUUUAGAGGAAGUAAAAGUCGUAACAAGGUCUCCGUUGGUGAACCAGCGGAGGGAUCAUUACAAGAAGCCGAAAGGCUACUUCAAACCAUCGCGAACUCGUCCAAGUUGCUUCGGCGGCGCGGCACCGGGUCACCGGGCGCCGCAGCACCGGCCUCUGCGGAGGCGCGGGGCACCCGCCGGAGGUACGAAACUCUGUAUUAUAGUGGAAUCUCUGAGUGAAAAGCAAAUAAGUUAAAACUUUCAACAACGGAUCUCUUGGUUCUGGCAUCGAUGAAGAACGCAGC
rnacentral:misc_RNA from 1 species